GAGACAGCAGUGCCGCGGUAAUACGAAGGGGGCUAGCGUUGUUCGGAUUUACUGGGCGUAAAGGGCGCGUAGGCGGACUGAUAAGUCAGGGGUGAAAUCCCAAGGCUCAACCUUGGAACUGCCUUUGAUACUGUUUGUCUUGAGUUCGAGAGAGGUAAGUGGAACUGCGAGUGUAGAGGUGAAAUUCGUAGAUAUUCGCAAGAACACCAGUGGCGAAGGCGGCUUACUGGCUCGAAACUGACGCUGAGGCGCGAAAGCGUGGGGAGCAAACAGGAUUAGAUACCCCCGUAGUCCCUGUCUCUUAUACA
rnacentral:rRNA from 1 species